GUUGAAAACGAAUGCGAAUACCGCAUACGCCCUACGGGGGAAAGGAGGGGACCUUCGGGCCUUCCGCGAUUGGUUGAACCUAGGUGGGAUUAGCUAGUUGGUGAGGUAAUGGCUCACCAAGGCGACGAUCCCUAGCUGUUCUUAGAGGAUGAUCAGCCACACUGAUCUGAGCCAUGACCCAAACUCUCACGGGAGGCAGCAGUGGGGAAUAUUGCACUAUGGGGGAAACCCUGAUGCAGCCAUGCCGCGUGUGUGAAGAAGGCCUUCGGGUUGUAAAGCACUUUCAGUAGGGAGGAAAGGGUGUAGUUUAAUACGCUAUAUCUGUGACGUCACCUACAGAAGAAGGACCUCUGACUCCGUGCCAGCAGCCCCGGUAUACUGAGGGUCCGAGCGUUAAUCGGAAUUACUG
rnacentral:rRNA from 1 species